rnacentral:rRNA from 1 species
AUUGAACGCUGGCGGCAGGCCUAACACAUGCAAGUCGAACGAGUGGCGGACGGGUGAGUAAUGUCUGGGAAACUGCCUGAUGGAGGGGGAUAACUACUGGAAACGGUAGCUAAUACCGCUUACCAUCAGCUGUGCCCAGAUGGGAAUAGCUUGUUGGUGGGGUAACGGCGCACCAAGGCGACGAUCCCUAGCUGGUCUGAGAGGUUGACGAGCCACACUGGAACUGAGAAACGGACCAGACGCGGACGGGAGGCAGCAGUGGGGAAUAUUGCACAAUGGGCGCAAGCCUGAUGCGGCCAUGCCGCGUGGAGGAAGAGGGCCUUCGGGUUGUAAAGUACUUUCAGCGGGGAGGCGUUACCCGCAGAGGAAGCACCGGAUAACGCCGUGCCAGCAGCCGCGGUAAUUC